ACACAAAACUACAUACUAGAUAUAUUUAUCUCGUCAAAUUUAAACAUGUAUUGAUUGGGAGGGAGCAAAUGGGAGGGCUGGAGAUGAUGAGGUGAUAAAAAGCGUCAUAAAAGCAUGCGUCUGACCAUAUCCUCCAGUCUUUGCAGUAGAAAGGAAAGUCAUCACCGACAGCUUCACAGGCCUAUAAGGAGCAACCUUCAGGACUGAUUUAUUCCGCAAAAUUCAUAUUUAUAUUUUGGUGGCACAGAAAACCUCAGCUUUACAACAAUGCAGCUCAAUUUACUCACUCUGACGCUUUGCUUACUUGGCACAGUAACUCUAUGUGGAGCACAGGAUAACACCACAACUGCAAACCCAGCACCAAGCGUUCCUCCUGACGUCAGUACCACUGAGCUCCCCGGUACCCUGCCAACAGGAUCACAACCCGUACCCGUCACAAACACAACUGACGCCACUGGCAGCACCAACGGGACCACCGCGGACCCAAAUACGCCGACACACGAGGCCAACACCACCUCGCCCGCCCCCACCGCGGAGGCGUCUGGGGGAGGUGGGCUGUCGUCGGGGGCUAUAGCUGGAAUCACCAUCGGCUCCAUCGCCGGGGUCGCUGCAGUGGGUGGAGGCAUCUUUGGAGCACUCAAGUACACGGGGAGGAUCUGAGACUGGUCCUCACCUAAAAGGAGUAAAGGACUAGAAACUAAAAGUCCACUUUUGUCUGAAAGGCCCAACUGAGAUUUAAACGUUAUGAACACAAUGUACAAGCUAAUGUCAGGGGCCAGGAGGAAGACAACACAGUGGAUUGGACUUUAUUCACCCAUGGGAUUAUGAUCUAUUACUGUAUGAAAUUUUGGUUUAUUAAGAACAGAACUAAAAUGGAAAGAUUUCCAUGAUUUUAAUUGUAAAGUGUAUCAAUGUCUAAUGUGUCUUCUGUUUGAUACUGUUCUGUCCAGUAACUUGGAUUGAUAUUAAAACUAAUUAACCAGAGAUUUUAAUAAGCUUUUACUUAUUAUAAGAUUAUUUUUCACCUUGUUUGGAACAGCUGUAGAGACAUUACGUUUUUCCCAAUGCUAACGCAUGUCGCUGAUAUGAGCAUUAUGACGUCACAAUAACUCAAGCUGUUUGAGUGUGAUGAGAUGUGAAUGUGUACGUGAGAACUGAGAAACGCCAGAUUAUGGGUGGUUGCAGCAUGUUGUGGUCUCAGAGUAAAAGACUUGACCUUAGAGUGCAGAGUACAAAUUUAGCAACAACGCAGUAUUUAAAGCAUUAACAAACGGGAUGCUGUCAACAACACACACAAACCUGAAAUCAAACUUGUGUCUGAUUUAAAUAAUGCAGAAAUGUAAACACUUGCAUAAACAUUUUUUCCUCCACUUCUCUAGAUCAGUCUCAUGUCACAGUGGGCUUCAGCCCCCGUCGGGCCUGUGGGGUCAUGGUAUGAUUAUUAACCACGCAUGCAUCAACAAUGUAUGGCUGCAACACAGCACAGCCGUCCAUGCAGGGAGUUUACGGCCGCAUGAUCACAAAGUGUUGGGUUUGUGCGAGAGCCGGGGGGUGUUACUGCAUGCUGGGGGCAGGGAGGGUCCAAUCUGGGAGCAUUUGCUAAGAUUAAAAUAAAAUGCUAUAUUUAAUAAGAGUUACA
rnacentral:lncRNA from 1 species